GUCCUUUAGAUGUUAAUUUAAGGUCUAGCCUGCCCACUGAAUUAAUUUUAAAUGGCCGCAGUAAUUUGACUGUGCAAAGGUAGCAUAAUCAUUAGUUUUUUAAUUAAAAGCUUGUAUGAAAGGUUGGACGAAGUAAAAUCUGUCUCUAAUUAAUUUAAUUUAGAAUUUAACUUUUAAGUCAAAAGGCUUAAAUAUAUUUAAAAGACGAGAAGACCCUAUAGAUCUUUAUAAUUUUAUUUAUUAAAUUUAAUUAUGAAUUUUUAAAAUUUUAUUAAAAAAAUUAUUUUAUUGGGGUAAUAUAAAGAUUAAAAUAAUUCUUUUUUUUUAUUAACAUUAAUUUAUGAUUUUUAUGAUCCAAUUAUAUUGAUUAGAAGAUUAAGUUACCUUAGGGAUAACAGCGUAAUUUUUUUAGAGAGUUCUUAUCGAUAAAAAAGUUUGCGACCUCGAUGUUGGAUUAAAGAUUAUUUUAGGUGCAGAAGUUUAAAAAUUUGGUCUGUUCGACCAUUAAAUCUUUACAUGAUCUGAGUUCAGACCGGUGUAAGCCAGGUCGGUUUCUAUCUUUAGAAAAUUAAAAUAUUUUAGUACGAAAGGACCAAUUAUUUAAUAUAUUAAUAUUUAUAUUUUGAUUAUUAUUA
rnacentral:rRNA from 2 species